rnacentral:rRNA from 1 species
AAAUACGGAGGAAAAGAAACCAACAGGGAUUGCCUUAGUAGCGGCGAGUGAAGCGGCAAAAGCUCAAAUUUGAAAUCUGGCUCUUUCAGAGUCCGAGUUGUAAUUUGAAGAAGGUAUCUUUGGGUCUGGCUCUUGUCUAUGUUUCUUGGAACAGAACGUCACAGAGGGUGAGAAUCCCGUGCGAUGAGAUGAUCCAGGCCUAUGUAAAGUUCCUUCGAAGAGUCGAGUUGUUUGGGAAUGCAGCUCUAAGUGGGUGGUAAAUUCCAUCUAAAGCUAAAUAUUGGCGAGAGACCGAUAGCGAACAAGUACAGUGAUGGAAAGAUGAAAAGAACUUUGAAAAGAGAGUGAAAAAGUACGUGAAAUUGUUGAAAGGGAAGGGCUUGAGAUCAGACUUGGUAUUUUGUAUGUUACUUCUUCGGGGGUGGCCUCUACAGUUUAUCGGGCCAGCAUCAGUUUGGGCGGUAGGAGAAUUGCGUUGGAAUGUGGCACGGCUUUGGUUGUGUGUUAUAGCCUUCGUCGAUACUGCCAGCCUAGACUGAGGACUGCGGUUUAUACCUAGGAUGUUGGCAUAAUGAUCUUAAGUCGCCCGUCUUGAA